CACAGAACAAACCAAAUGUUCGCUCUCCUUCUCAAAUCCCCAAUCGCUCUUCCUCUUAUCAACUGACCAUUGCCCAUCGCUCAUCGUCCCUCUCAUCGACGGUGAUCACCAUACCUCACUGUGUCUCACCGUCUCAUCGCCACAGUCAGUACGCCGUCUAGCCUCCAAUUGAUUUUGAUUUAGCAAACCUGAAUGCUUCUAGUGGAUUACAGAUAUGCGAGUCAUCACACCAUUUGAGUUUCGAGUGGAAUCAUUAGCUUGCGGUUGAGUGCCACUAAAGAAGUGAAAAUGACUUCAAUGGUUGAUGACAUAAAUGCUUAUUCUUACUUGUACCCUGCAGAAUUGCCAUCUAGAAAGUUUGUCUUCAAAUGGCUCUUGGAAUUACUGGUCAAUGCACUACCUCUGCUCAUAGGCAAUGAAGAUAAACUGAUAUGGGAAGCAGAUCUUUCAGGUAUGAAUCAAAUCUAUUAGAGGUUUAUUACAGUGGUGGAAAGGUUUCAGCUAUAGUAUAAGUGCAGAAAAUAAGAAAGAAAAAUUUGGGAAGUAGUUCCUUUUGCAGCAAUGUAGUCAUUUUGGAAAAUUAGGAAUGUUUGGAAAUUCAAUGGGACCCAAGUAAACUAGGAUUCCAUCACUAAAAUUAUAAACCUAAGAGUGGCAAUUAUUCAAGCGUAGAGACCAUAUAUCUCAUCAUACACCAUAGCAAACUCACUAACUCUUGGAACUAAAAUCCAUAUUCUACCCUUCACUCCUCCAAGUAUGCUGAUAUGCACAUAAGUGAUAAUCAAAUAUUAAUAAUUUUAGCUCCCCACUAUUUUGGGGGUUGCAACACAAAUCAUGUUAUGUCACAUGGGUAUUAUGCUAUUUCUCACUGCUCAUACAUGAUAACUUCCUGCUUAUUCAACCUAAAAUUCUAUCCCCAGAAGUAGUUAACUUAAAAGACACUACCAUAUACUUUGUAGGUUUGAAUAUCACUUACGAUUCUUUGAUUGAAACUUUCAUCUUGGAUGAAUUUUAUUUUUUUUAUUCGGGGGCCAAAAUUAUGUAACAAUCAUGAGAAGGCCCAGAGAACACCUCAAAUAACUCGGGAGAAACUAAUCUAAGUUGUGAAAACUUAUGGAACUAGCACAGGACUCCCGAUUCGAAAACUAAGUCGAAAAAUGCACUUUUCUAACACUUAAGCUUAAAAAUAGGCCAUCGGGGGCCA